rnacentral:rRNA from 1 species
GAUGAACGCUGGCGGCGUGCCUAACACAUGCAAGUCGAGCGAACAGACGAGGAGCUUGUUCCUUUGACGUUAGCGGCGGACGGGUGAGUAACACGUGGAUAACCUACUUAUAUUACUGGGAUAAUUUCGGGAAACCGGAGAUAAUACCGGAGAAUAUAUUGAACCGCAUGGUGCAAUAGAGAAAGACGGCUUUGCUGUCUCUUAUAGAUGGAUCCGCGCCGCAUUAGCUAGUUGGUAAGGUAACGGCUUACCAAGGCAACGAUGCGUAGCCGAGCGGAGAGGGUGAUCGGCCACACUGGAACUGGACCGCGGUCCAGGCUCCUGAGGGAGGCAGCAGUAGGGAAUCUUCCGCAAUGGGCGAAAGCCUGACGGAACGACGCCGCGUGAGUGAUAGAGGUCUUCGGAUCGUAAAACUCUGUUAUUAGGGAAGAACAAAUGUGUAAUUAACUAUGCACGUCUUGACGGUACCUAAUCAAAAAGCCCCGGCUAACUACGUG